rnacentral:rRNA from 1 species
GAACAUUGAGCCUUGAUGUGUAGGAUAGGUGGGAGGCUUUGAAGCGUGGACGCCAGUCUGCGUGGAGCCAACCUUGAAAUACCACCCUUUAAUGUUUGAUGUUCUAACGUUGGCCCCUUACCGGGGUUGCGGACAGUGUCUGGUGGGUAGUUUGACUGGGGCGGUCUCCUCCCAAAGCGUAACGGAGGAGCACGAAGGUUAGCUAAUCCUGGUCGGACAUCAGGAGGUUAGUGCAAU